AACGAACGCUGGCGGCAGGCUUAACACAUGCAAGUCGAACGCCCCGCAAGGGGAGUGGCAGACGGGUGAGUAACGCGUGGGAACCUACCCAAAGGUACGGAACAACCAAGGGAAACUUUGGCUAAUACCGUAUACGCCCCAAGGGGGAAAGAUUUAUCGCCUUUGGACGGGCCCGCGUUGGAUUAGCUUGUUGGUGGGGUAACGGCCUACCAAGGCGACGAUCCAUAGCUGGUCUGAGAGGAUGAUCAGCCACACUGGGACUGAGACACGGCCCAGACUCCUACGGGAGGCAGCAGUGGGGAAUCUUGGACAAUGGGCGAAAGCCUGAUCCAGCCACGCCGCGUGAGUGAAGAAGGCCUUAGGGUUGUAAAGCUCUUUCGGCGGGGACGAUAAUGACGGUACCCGCAGAAGAAGCCCCGGCUAACUCCGUGCCAGCCGCCGCCGUAAAAC
rnacentral:rRNA from 1 species